AAAAGUGAAACCAAUAUUUGGUUAUAAAUUUCAUAAAAACUGAACCGUAUUUGGUAAAAAUACGUAUAUUUUAUUAAAAUUGGUUUCUCUUGAAAGUAAAAAUGGUUGUAAGAUAUCGAGGAGGGCGACAAAAAAAUAACUGUACAUAUAUAUCGAAGGUAUGAAGUUGAAAAGUGUUAGUGCUUCAUACAAGUGCUUUCCAAGUAAAGUGAACAAGCUCAAAUAUAACAUAUACAUAUUUACUACCUUCAAAUUUCACAUAAUGAAUCUGAAUGAAAUAAACAAAAUAGAAGGCACAUCGUUUAUGAAUGGUGAACUGUUUAAUGAAUUCUACAACGAUCUUGGGCACGAUUGCGGGCGAGGCUACUAUUUAUACAAAUUUUA